AUUGAACGCUGGCGGCAGGCUUAACACAUGCAAGUCGAGCGGGGUGAUGGUGCUUGCACUAUCACUUAGCGGCGGACGUGUGAGUAAUGCUUAGGAAUCUGCCUAUUAGUGGGGGACAACAUCUCGAAAGGGACGCUAAUACCGCAUACGUCCUACGGGAGAAAGCAGGGGAUCACUUGUGACCUUGCGCUAAUAGAUGAGCCUAAGUCGGAUUAGCUAGUUGGUGGUGUAAAGGCCUACCAAGGCGACGAUCUGUAGCGGGUCUGAGAGGAGGAUCCGCCACACUGGGACGGAGACACGGCGCAGAGUCCUACGGGAGGCAGCAGUGGGGAAUAUUGGACAAGGGGGGGAUCCCUGAUCCAGCCAUGCCGCGUGUGUGAAGAAGGCCUUAUGGUUGUAAAGCACUUUAAGCGAGGAGGAGGCUCUUUUGGUUAAUACCCAAGAUGAGUGGACGUUACUCGCAGAAUAAGCACCGGCUAACUCUGUGCCAGCCGCCGCCGUAA
rnacentral:rRNA from 1 species